rnacentral:ncRNA from 1 species
UUGUAUGUAUUCAUGAUGCGUAAAUUUGUGCGCAUCUAAAAUUAGGUGAAUUGUCUGGAAAGCUAAGGGAGAAAUCCUAUGCCGAUCAGCAGCCAAGCUUAGGAAGCGAUUCCUUUGAAGGUUCAGAGACUAAGGUAUACCUGCUCUAGAAGUAGAUGAAACCUAUAGGAUAGGGAAGCUAUUGCCCAUCCGAAGCGCCUAACUCUAAUGAAGUUUAUUAGAGAUGAUAUAGUCCCAGCCUUAGAUGAAAAUCUAAG